GCUACUGCAGUCGAGCGGUAGCACAGAGAGCUUGCUCUCGGGUGACGAGCGGCGGACGGGUGAGUAAUGUCUGGGAAACUGCCUGAUGGAGGGGGAUAACUACUGGAAACGGUAGCUAAUACCGCAUAACGUCGCAAGACCAAAGUGGGGGACCUUCGGGCCUCAUGCCAUCAGAUGUGCCCAGAUGGGAUUAGCUAGUAGGUGGGGUAAUGGCUCACCUAGGCGACGAUCCCUAGCUGGUCUGAGAGGAUGACCAGCCACACUGGAACUGAGACACGGUCCAGACUCCUACGGGAGGCAGCAGUGGGGAAUAUUGCACAAUGGGCGCAAGCCUGAUGCAGCCAUGCCGCGUGUAUGAAGAAGGCCUUCGGGUUGUAAAGUACUUUCAGCGAGGAGGAAGGCAUCAAGGUUAAUAACCUUGGUGAUUGACGUUACUCGCAGAAGAAGCACCGGCUAACUCCGUGCCAGCAGCCGCGGUAAUACGGAGGGUGCAAGCGUUAAUCGGAAUUACUGGGCGUAAAGCGCACGCAGGCGGUCUGUCAAGUCGGAUGUGAAAUCCCCGGGCUCAACCUGGGAACUGCAUUCGAAACUGGCAGGCUAGAGUCUUGUAGAGGGGGGUAGAAUUCCAGGUGUAGCGGUGAAAUGCGUAGAGAUCUGGAGGAAUACCGGUGGCGAAGGCGGCCCCCUGGACAAAGACUGACGCUCAGGUGCGAAAGCGUGGGGAGCAAACAGGAUUAGAUACCCUGGUAGUCCACGCCGUAAACGAUGUCGACUUGGAGGUUGUGCCCUUGAGGCGUGGCUUCCGGAGCUAACGCGUUAAGUCGACCGCCUGGGGAGUACGGCCGCAAGGUUAAAACUCAAAUGAAUUGACGGGGGCCCGCACAAGCGGUGGAGCAUGUGGUUUAAUUCGAUGCAACGCGAAGAACCUUACCUACUCUUGACAUCCAGAGAACUUAGCAGAGAUGCUUUGGUGCCUUCGGGAACUCUGAGACAGGUGCUGCAUGGCUGUCGUCAGCUCGUGUUGUGAAAUGUUGGGUUAAGUCCCGCAACGAGCGCAACCCUUAUCCUUUGUUGCCAGCGGUUCGGCCGGGAACUCAAAGGAGACUGCCAGUGAUAAACUGGAGGAAGGUGGGGAUGACGUCAAGUCAUCAUGGCCCUUACGAGUAGGGCUACACACGUGCUACAAUGGCAUAUACAAAGAGAAGCGACCUCGCGAGAGCAAGCGGACCUCAUAAAGUAUGUCGUAGUCCGGAUUGGAGUCUGCAACUCGACUCCAUGAAGUCGGAAUCGCUAGUAAUCGUAGAUCAGAAUGCUACGGUGAAUACGUUCCCGGGCCUUGUACACACCGCCCGUCACACCAUGGGAGUGGGUUGCAAAAGAAGUAGGUAGCUUAACCUUCGGGAGGGCGCUUACCACUUUGUGAUUCAUGACUGGGGUGA
rnacentral:rRNA from 1 species